UAUAAAUCUGUUAAGAUUUUGCAUUUCCAAUUAUAUUUCAAAGCAGGGCAUUAUAUAUAGACAUCUUAUGUGUGUGCAGAUGAAUAUUCUUGGUUUUUUAGGUUUGUUUAUUUUUGGUACAGUUAAGCCUGGCUUGAACAAACAGGGAAAAAGGAAAGGAAACAAAAUUUUUAGUGAUAUAAGUUGUUAAAAGACAUUGCUGAUGAAAUUUAAUAUUGUCAUUAGACUUGAAGUUGAAGUGUCAAAUUACAAAACUGUUCAAAUUAUAGACAGGUUUAGCGGUAAAAGUAAAAUGUACUAGUAAUAGACAAUUUGUGUGACUUUUCUUUUUGAAACUGUAAUCAUGUAAUUGUAUACAUUCCACCAUGCCCCACUAUCCCCCUUUUGGAACCCCUCGGGUAUCUUUGAAUGAACCCAAGGAGUUCCAAUUUUUACAACCCUUCCUUGAUGACAAUAUGUAAUGGCUUUGAUAACAAGCAGCCCAGCAGAUACAAUUAAUACCAAUCAGAAGCAUUGUGUGUUAACCUUUAAGAGAAUCCAUUUUUAGCACAUUUGAAAUAAAAUGUGAAGAAAAUACC
rnacentral:misc_RNA from 1 species